GUGGGGAAUAUUGGACAAUGGGCGAAAGCCUGAUCCAGCCAUGCCGCGUGUGUGAAGAAGGCCUUUUGGUUGUAAAGCACUUUAAGCGAGGAGGAGGCUACCGAGAUUAAUACUCUUGGAUAGUGGACGUUACUCGCAGAAUAAGCACCGGCUAACUCUGUGCCAGCAGCCGCGGUAAUACAGAGGGUGCGAGCGUUAAUCGGAUUUACUGGGCGUAAAGCGUGCGCAGGUGGCCGAUUAAGUCAAAUGUGAAAUCCCCGAGCUUAACUUGGGAAUUGCAUUCGAUACUGGUUGGCUAGAGUAUGGGAGAGGAUGGUAGAAUUCCAGGUGUAGCGGUGAAAUGCGUAGAGAUCUGGAGGAAUACCGAUGGCGAAGGCAGCCAUCUGGCCUAAUACUGACACUGAGGUGCGAAAGCAUGGGGAGCAAACAGGAUUAGAAACCCCGGUAGUCC
rnacentral:rRNA from 1 species